rnacentral:lncRNA from 1 species
AAACUAAUAGUCCAAGCACCUAGAACUGUUACCCCUUUAAUUGUUGAUCCCUCAUUUUUUAAAUCAUAAAUAUGAGUGGCUACCUGCCUCCUUCACAAGGUCGUGGUGAGAAGCAAAUUGAUGCCAGUGCCAUUUUUUCCACCUCAAUUCCUUGAGUUGCACAAUUUUGUGGGAAUUUCCUGGGAAGACUUCAAAGCAAUUUAAAUAGAUCUGUCCCAACCAUGCAAUUACAGGAGCUGAUGAUGUUUCAGAAACAGUGACAAAGUUCAGAAUCCCAUUCUUCCAUCCUAGAUGGGAAACAUCAACUUUCCUGAUGGAAAGGCCAUGUGAAAACAUGGCGAGAAGACAGUCAUCUGCAACCCAAGGAGAGAGACUUUACCAGACACUGACCCUGCUGGCACCUUGAUCUUGGACUUCCAGUGUUCAGAACUAUGAGAAAUAAAUUCCUGUUAUGUAAGGUGCCCAGUCCAUGGUAUUUUGUUGUAACAGCCUGAGCUGUUGAAGAUGGAUUUUCCUUUCAAGAUCAGAUCUUGGGCCUCAGAGUCAGCCUCACUAUAGAAGGCAAGGGCUAGUCUCAGCUUCCCACAGAAGACUUGGUUUUAUUGGAGGCAAGUUUUGUCUUGCUUACAUUGAGGUUAUACAAAGCAAAACAAAAUUCACAUUUUGUUAAGUGACUACCAUAUGAUCACUCUGAAUUUUAUUUUACCUGUCAUUUCUCGGUAUCAAUAGGUUUUACUUCCCCUUGUUCUGGAUUUCAGUGAUUGAUGACUGAAUACAAUAAAUAUUUAUUGAGCGCCUU